rnacentral:lncRNA from 1 species
CAUAAGUCUACUCCCACUCCCAAUCCUCACCAUGUGGGAAUGGAAUAUUGGAGAUAUUAAUAGUUUUCGUUGGAUCCAAUGGAUGAAUUGGAUCAAACGGUGAAUCUUCUCCAAAUUCAACUGGCAUUGUCUUCCAAUAUAGAUUUGGUUCCCACUCUGCUUCUUUGAUAACCUUAAUUAUUUCCUUUGACACCAUUUCACUCCCCUCAGCAGAGAAAUGAAUUCCAUCACUAAAAAAUAACCAAAUCAUCUAAUUAAAUCAUUGAAAUGCAAAUUUGAUAUAUAUUUAUUAAUAUAGGGACAUACAUAUAUGAGAGCACACUUACAUGAAACAAACUUCUUUCCAAUCAUCUCUUCUCUGAAUUAAAGACCACAAAUCAAUGGCCUUGAUGUUCAUAUGACUACACAUAUUUAAAAGUGCAUCUGAAUAUUGUUUACGAACUUCAUUUGUCCUUAUUGCUUUCCCAAAUGCAUCACUGGAUUGAUUACAACAAUUUGUUUAUAUAUUACAGAAAAGUUAGGAAUUAAGAAUCUAAUUGGUUCUAGAAUUUUCUGUGACAUUAUAAUUAAAUUAACAAUAAAAAAUAGCAAACCAAUUGUAUGUAUUACAUGUUGCCUUCUGUUUGCUCGUCACCGAUGGGAGGACAACUGAGGAAUAUAAGGCGAGUCUUCGGUGAAUUUAUCUGUCAAUUUCAUUAGGAGUUGUGUCAAACUUACAUUCAAGAUCAUGAGAUAAAUGUUGAAUUUUAUGUACAAUAAUUUUUCAUCAGUUUCUUUUCUUUCUUUUUUACCAUACCACAAUGGUGUAGUUUCGGAAGGAAUUUACCAAAUUAAGAUAGGAAAAUGAAACUCAACUAUGACAAAUUUUACCUUUAGAUAAUUAGCAAUCUUACACAUAUUUUGAAUGUAUUCCUCCAAUCGUACAUGAGGACCGAGACCACUUGGAUGUGGAAGAUGAGAAUCAUUACCACCAAAAUACACAAUCGCCAAUGCUGGUUGGUCUCGUUGCUCAAUGGAAAUCUUUAUUAGAGAUGACCAAUAACACAAGGGUCAAUCAUUGUCGACAAAAUUUUAUAAUCACAUUCAAAUAUAAACAAAAACUUAUGUGUGUUGUGAACCUUAUUCAGCAAGAUCAUUAUAGUAUGUUUAAUACUAUGUAAAUCAAUAUAAUCUUCUCAAUUUGACAAAUAAAAAACCACUCAUUAAAAAAUUGAGAUAAUGCCUAAAAAUAUUGCAAAGGACAAUACUUGUAGAUCAAUACCUUAGGAAAAAUAUCAUCCACAACUUGUAGACCACGCGUUGAAUUCCAACCAGCAUAUCCCCGCAAAACUAUAUCAACCUACAUGGUGUAUGAUAAGUAAAAAAGUCGUUGAUUAAUGUACUACUUUCUCCGUUUCAAAAUACAUGUCCAUUUUAGAGAAAUUUUUUGUUUCAAAAUACAUGUCCAUUUCAUAGUUUAAGGAUACAUUUUGUCUAUUUUACCCUUGUCUACCAAUUAAUUGGAUUCUAGAUUUUCUCCACAAUAAUUAUUUUCCACUAAUAAAUGUUGACCCAAUUUUAAGCAGAUUUACUCAUGCACUCUCCCAAGAAAUUAUUUUCCCAUGACUACUGCACUCUAAUCCAUCGUAACUAACUACUCCUAAUUAAUUGGACUCUCUAAUUUGUUUAUAAAAAUUGAGUUUUUAUAAUUAAAACUACCGAAAAAAAAAUGGAAAACAAAGGAAAGUCUGUGAAAGUUGAAUCUCUGCACAAUGAAAGAGUUGAAGACUCUUUUUUCAAUUGAGUUUAAAAAAAAAAUUGAUAACCGAAGCAUGAUAAGAGAAGUUGAAAAAAAAUUGUAUUGGCAUGCUAUUUUCAAUACAUAACCGCAGCAAAAACAAUGUGAUUUACUAGAUGAACCAUAUGUAUUGGUAUUGUCAGUAUGUAUUGGUAUUGAAGGAUGAUUGAAUUUAAUUAAUUUUGGUAUUGGUAUUGAGAGUAAUUAUGAGAUGGGGUAAAUAAAUGUAAAAUGGAGGAAAUCAAAGACAAGGGUAUAAUAGGAACUUUUGUGUCAAACUAGCUUGUCCUUGGUUACUGCAAUUUCUCCAAAAUGGACAUGUAUUUUGAAACGGAGGGAGUAUUAACUACUCCUAUUAAUGGCACUUAUAAAUGUAACUUUACUCUAAUGCUCGUUGAGAAAGAGAAACAUGUGACUUCGUGUCUGGUUUAUAGACACAUAAAUGUAACAUUUUAUGUGUAAUAUUGUAAACUGAAUUGUAUUGUAGUAAUACUAGUACUAUAUAUAUUGAUUCUAAUAUCGAAAUCCUAAUUCAAUAAAUUAUAGCUGCUCUAUAGUCGUAGAGGUAUGCACCAUUGGUAGAACGGAUUUUUGUUUCUUGUUAAUCUUCUGUUACUAAUUGCUGUUCUAACAUAUUUUUUUUCGUAUGAAAAAAUCAGCUUGAGAGGAUGACAAUCUAGUCCAAUGGUAGGAAGACUUGUGGCUUAAAGAACAUCUACCGAGAUUUCUUGUCCGUAGAUGAAAACAAACACCACUUAAAUUUCACACAUAACUAUGUUAUAUUGGGUUCAAAUUCAAGUAAAAGUGUCCAACCUAAAUUCCAACAUUAUAAGUUGAGUUAACCCUUACGGACCACAAAGGGAUUUAUAUUUAGCUAUAAAUUUUCUCAAAAAGUACUUAAAAAAAGAGAUGGAUGUUACUACGGUUGUAAGAGGAAGGAAUUAGAGUACCUUACGACCGUACAAAUGAGCAAGAGUAGCUCCCCAACCUUCACCAUAAUGAUUGUAUUGAACAAUGGAAGAACCAAACAACACAAAUUUAGGCCUCAUUGCUUCUAACUUAUCUUAUUUCUCAAUAAACACAAAGAUACAAAUGAUGCGAGACUAUGCAUCAUGAGGCAGAGAUUUAUACUAGGUGGUUAUUAGUUUUUUACUAGCCACGUUUAAUUUUUUAUAAGCCACGUUAACCUUAAUUUAUUUGUAGUUUUGUUCAAUAAAAUUGGGCUUAAGAUCCAUACAGAUAGUUAUUAAUUUUUUAUAGACAUUUUUAUUUUGUAUAAGUCACGGUUUUCAUGGAAAGCCAGCUGCAACCUUAAUUUAUCUGUAGUUAAUUCAUGAAAGGAAGUAACAACAGGAUAGCAGUCAAUGAACGCCAACUCGCCAAUUAAAUAUGAUGAAUUUGGUAUUUUCCUACAAACAAUUAAAUAUAGAUGAAUUAUUUGAUACCCUUGUAACUGAAAGCUAUCGAAACGUAUCAAUAACAUUUUUAUAGUUCUUAUUCUUAAAGUUCAAAAUCCACAACAGCUUGUUGAUUUUUGGCUGAUUUCUAUGGUGAGAUGCAUGUAUAAGGUUUUAGCAAAAGUCUUAGCAAACAAAUUGAGGAAAGUGAUGGGAACUUUAGUUUCAAACUCUCAGUCAAUUUUUAUUAAAGGUAGACAGAUUUUGGACGGAAUUCUUAUAGCAAAUAAAGUAGUGGAUGAUACCUGAAGGUUAAGAAAGGGAGUUGUUAUUAUUUAAAGUUGGUUUUGAGAAAGUUUUUGAUUCGGUUGAUUGGAAAUUUCAGGAAAGAGUAAUGUUAAAAAUGAAUAUUCCUACCUUAUAGUGGAAAUGGAUCAUACAAUGUGUUAGCCAAACCCGACCUUGGGGGAGUGCAAGGUGCUCAACCAAGCCGGACCUCCAAAUAUUAUGGGCCUAAAAAAAAAAUUAAGUCUAAUAUCCACCCCCUACUUAAAUAAAAAAAAAAAUAUGUUACUUCUUUUUCUUUCUUCGGUACACGUUUUAAUUUUUUUAGACUCUAGUUCUUCUUUUUGGACAUAAAUCUGAUGCUAUCAAACUAUUCUCAAUUUGUACAAUCACUUUAUCAGUUAAUUUGAAAAGCUAUUUCAUUGAAAGAAAACAUUAUAAGGUGAAACCCAUGCAAAAGGGUUGAGCCACCGACUAUGAUAAUUGAAAGCAAAAGUAUGGUUAUUUGCUUUCAAACACCAAAAAGAGAAUAACUUAACCUUGUCCAAAAGUUGAUACAUAUGAUCUUCCUUUUGAUUAAAAAUCCUCUUGUUCCUUUCUUUCCAAAUUACCCACAUGCUCGAGAACCAAACCAACAACAAAGUAUAAUGAAGGGAUCUGGAAUAACUUCCUAACUAAACAAACUGAAUCAAAUGACCCAAUAUACAUGACGGAUCGGCUGAAGAUAUACCUAAUCAUUCACGAAUAAGAGACCAAAUAAUGCCCGCAAUAUAUCAAGGCCAGUCUACAUCUUCAGGGAAAGGCACGUUGGAGUAAUUAACAGUUGUCUUCCCAUCAAGAGAAACUAUAUCAUAAGGUGAAUCUUCUCCAAAUUCAGUUGGCAUUAGCUUCCAAUAUAGACUUGGUUCCCACUCUGCUUCUUUGAUUACAUUCAAUAUUUCCUUUGUUACUAUUUCACUCCCCUCAUUUGAUAGAUGAACUCCAUCACUAAGAAAUAAUCAAACCACCUAAUUAAAUUACGGAUAAACAAAUUUGAAACAUUAUAGUUUAGGUGCAAAUAAAUGAGACCAUACUUACAUGAAACAAACAUCUCUCCAAUCAUCUCUUUUCUGAAUUGCAGACCACAUAUCAAUGACCUUUAUGUUCAUCUCACGACACAUAUCCAAACAUGCAUCGGAAUAUAUUCCACAAUCUUCAUUUGUUCUUAUUGGUUGCCCAAAUUCAUUACUGGGCUCAUUCAAACAAUUUGUUAGAAAGUAUAUAUCAUCGUAGAAUAAUUAGGAAAUGAGAAUAUCAAAGGUUAUUACAUGUGAUGCUUCAUUUGUGCCUCAUUGAUUGGAGGAUUACUGAGAAAUAUAAUACGAGUUUUCUGUGAUAGGCUCUGUCAAUUAUUAGGAAUUAUGUCAAAAUUAACAUUCAUAAUAAAAAAAUUAACAAUAAAAACAAAAAUUUAUUAUUGAUUAUAAGAGGAAAUAAAAUAUGAGAUGAAAUUUAUACACAAAGUACAUAAGAAUUUCAUGAAGCAUGAAACUAUUCUUCAGUUUAUUUUUUAUGCAAUUGUGUCGUUUCAAAAGAAAUUAAUCAAAUUAGAGUUGUAAAAAAUAUUACUAAAAUAGGUUAUGUGAUAAUAACAAUUAGUAAAUAAGAAGAUGAAACUCUAGUAUGACUAUUUUAACCAUCAAAUGAUAUUGACACAAAAAUACAUUUUGACAUCAAUUUGGAUAGUUAUUGAAUUUAAAUAUGUGAUUAAUUAUGUUUAGAGGAUUGUUAAUGAAUAUAACAAUAACAAUAUAUUGCAUCUCAACAACCAUCCAUUGAACACAAAUACAUAAUGCACCAUGAUUUUGAUUUAUUUUUUUUAACUAUGUAUUCUAUGUACAUAACUGCAUAGAUAAACCCCUCAAGCUUUAUAAAACUUAAAUGGACUGCAAAUUCUUACUAAAAGUUUUAAUCAUGAUGAAUGUUUAAUGUUGAAUUCAAACAUAAGACUUUGGUAAAGUUAAAAGAGACAUGUGUCAUCUCUUUUAAACGUUAUUGUGUAUUUUGAAUAUCAUUAACUAUAUUUUCGGAUAUUCAAAAUAUAAAUAUAUUCAUUAAACAUUUUUUUAAGGAAUAUAUUCAUUAAACAUUUAAAUUGGGUUCUAAUAUACAUGAUUUCUAUAUGGAUAGCAAUCUUUUACCAUUAUAUGGAUAGCAAUCUUCCUCAUAUUUUCUAUGUAUUCCUCCAAUGGUACAUGAGGACCAAGACCACUUGGAUGUGGACGAAAAGAAUCAUUACCACCAAAGUAGACAAUCACCAAUGCUGGUUGUUCAGCGGCAUUCUGUAUUAGAGAUGAAAUAUAAAAAACAUUAAAACUUAUAUGUAUCUGUUGCAAAACUUAUUUAAUAAUUCUAGUCUCUAAAUAUCAUGAUUAUACUAUUUUAGACAACUAAAAGUGGGAGAGAAAAAAUAUCAGGAAACCACUUUAUUGCAAAAGGAAAAAAAUAUAAAAAAUCAAAAUCGCCCGUAGAAAAGUAAGGAUCAAAAUGGCUAUUACAAUACUUGAAGAACUGCAAUUAAGUUGCCUUCAACAUGCAUAUGUUCAAUACCUUAGGAAAAAUUCUAUCCAAAACUUGGAGAGCAUGCCUUGAAUUCCAAGCAGCAUAUCCCCUCAAAACUAUAUCAGCCUACAUCAAAUCAAUGUUAGGUUUUCCAAAAAAAAUUGUGACAGUGAUAUAAGUUUUAUAAUUUCUAAUAUUUGCCUAUAUAUGUGAUUAUCUAAACUCUUAUUUUUCAUAGGCAAUAUUUAAUUAUAAGUGAAAAAUUUAUAAGUACACCUUAUAUUUUGAAAGACCGAAGAGACUUUUGAUAUUCUAGAACAUAGAUUCGAACUCGUUUUUUUUCAUUUGGUGUGUGAUCUUGGUCACUAGACUCUUUUAUUUCGAAAAUGUACAUAACCAAUAAAACGUUACGGUAUUAAUAGUCAGAGGAAGAAAUAAUAAUACCUUACGAGCGUACAAGUGAGAAAGUGUAGCUCCCCAACCUUCAUAGUAACUGUAUUGAACAAUUGAUGAACCAAACAACACAAAUUUAGGCCUCAUUGUUGCUCCCCAACUGUGCAAUGGAAGAACCUUCUUUAUUGCUCCCCAACCUUCACCAUAAUAUGAUUGUAUUGAACGAUGGAAGAACCUCAUUAUUGUUCCUAACUUAUCUUAUCUCUCAAUAAACACAAUUGAUGAUUUUAUUUUUUAAUUUUGAUGAUUUUUGUGUAUUUAGUAGGGAGUUCGAUGAUUAAAAUAAAUUAAUUAGAUGGGAGAGAAUGAUUGUUCAAAAUAGAUAGAGAGAAAGUUACCAAAGAGAGAGAAUUGAAAGGUAGAUAAUCUGCAUCCCAUAACUUAUGAGUUGAAAUAAUUUUCUCUAUCUUCUCAAUGUUAUGAUCAGAUGGUGUAUUGUUUUGAAGAGAAGCACUGCAUCAGUUCAAGGAAGAUAAAUGGAUUAAUCAUUAACAUACUCAAGGCACUGAAAAGGUAUCAGAUGUGUAAACUAAUGGUGUAGCAAUUUUUUUGACAUAAGAAUGUGUUCUUGGAGGUGUGUUCACGAGGAGGAUCCAAGAAUCAUGCAAUCGAGUAGGUUUAGGAAAGCCGGAUGGAUCCGUAAAAUGGAACCACAUAUGCAAAUGAAUACAUUGAAAACAUUGAAGUCGUCCUCAAGUAUCAUAACGUUCGAGGAGCGGUCAAAUUUAGGCUCUUUUCACGGUGCCUAAUGGGAGCCUUGAAAUUAUGCAAAAGCUUGAGAGAAGAGUCCAUCGACUCUUGGGAGGAACUAUGUAUACAAUUCACGACCCAUUUCACUACAUCGAGAAGGCAAACCAAGAAGGUUGCGACCUUGAAAGCUAUCAUCCAAGGAAAGAGAGAGAAUGUUCGAGACUACAUCGAAAAGUUCAACAAAAAAAGUUGUACAUAUCCGAGGAGCGGACAAGAAAACGAAGUUGAACCAAUUGAAUAAGGGUCUCCGACCAGGAACCGAUUUCCUCAAAGCUGUAAGAUAGCUAAGACUACCUCAUCGAUUGGAAGAGAUUUCAGAUUCCUCCAAGACUAAAUCAUUACUUAAUAAAGCAAAACAACAUUGAAACCAAAACUUUAUUUUUCAUGAAACAUGAAAAGCUCAGAGGGGAAAAGCUGCACAAAGCAAGAAAGUUACCUAACGAUGCAAAAUUACAUUGCUGCCACUAGAUCACGAUAUUUCAGCCAAAUUGCUUUGAAUCACAAUAAACUUCACAACUUUACUGCAGGAAAUACAUCAUAAGAAAUCAAAUGAUCAAACUUGCAAAAUUGAAUGAACGAACUAGCAUUGAUAUGUCGAAAAUUAAUGAUAUUCCAACUAUAUCCACCAACUUGCAUUGAACUUGUACCGACAAAGUCAUAGUGUCUGACCUUUUCAAUUUAAUUUAGAAUUUUUCUUGCCUCAUCCCAUAUAUUUUGUUACAUCUAAAUUUACUUGAAAUUUCACAAUAAUACCAAAAUUACUCUUUCAUAUAAAUUUUUUUAAAACCUUGAUUUAUUGUUACUCUAAAUUAUCACCAUCUUUCACCAACAAACAAUCAUAGAUAUUCAAUCAAUUCCAAUGAAAGAUUAAAGAGUGAAUCAAAACGUCUUUUAUCCAUAGUCUAUUGCAUAUAGGUAAGUGAAUUUAUUUUUUAUUUAAUGAGGAUGAGUUUCUAUUUUUUUCUUGUUGUUCAACGUGCUGAUAUAUUAUGCACUCUACAAGCGACGAGUAUUUGAUGGUGCACCACGUGUUAACGCUAAUUAAAUUUAAGUAAACAUUCAUUUAAAUGUUGAUGUUAAGUUAAAUUCACUUUAAGUAGAUACAUGUAAACCAAAUUUGUACAUGUAAACUGAGUUUACAUGUACCCACUUAAAAUAAGAUUAAGUAGAGUGAUUAAACAAGGUUGAGGAGGUUAACGCAAAUUUCAGUUUAAGUAUGUACACCUAAAUUCAGUUUACAUGGUCUACUUAAACUGAGUUUACAUGACAUACUUAAACUGAGUUUUGGGUGAAUUUAAAAAUUAAAUUUUACUAAAGGAUAAUUUUGUCAUUUUAGGGUGUAACAAGAAUUAAAUAGGGUGUAACUAGAAAAAUUCUUUAAUUUACUGUAAAAUGUCUAGUAAUUACAGCUGAGUCGGUUGAAACAACAUGUUGUUAAAGUAACAUAUGUUGCGUAGAUGUGGCUUACUUGAACUUACAAAAGACGUAGUAUAGAAUUAUUCAUAGUAACAUAUGUCGGGUAAUUUUGUCAUUUUUAAUGUUUGAAUUAAUAUUGUGAGUGUUGUGGUAAUUUUUGUUAACUCCAACGAAGAGAUAAUGCAACCUAUGAGUUUAACAAUCAUUAUAAACUCAGACGAUUGAGAAAAUACAGUCUAUGAGUUAAAUACUCAUAGUAUUUAAAAUACAAAAUGUUCGCUCCAAGGAGGAGAUAAUUCAACUUAUGAGUUACGUACUCAUGGUAUUUUAAAAUGGACUUAUACUACUUAUGAAGACUUAUACUGGUAGUUGUUUAUUUUUUCUAUUUCUAUACACGUAUUAAUUUUUAUGCACAAGCUACGUUUACUUGUCCAAUCUAAUAUCUUUAAUUAUUGGAAAAAGAUAUUUUAACAACCAUUAUAGUACGACAAUAAAGUCAUAAUAUACAUGUACUUUUUGUUUUGUUUUAAUGAGAGAAAUGAUAUUUGAAGAAUCCAUUUUGCGAUAACUUUUGUGACAAUUUUUUCUCUCUUAUAUUCAUAUUAUUUUUUACUUUAUCUCUCUAUUGUUUUGGUUUUCAUGCAAAUACAUUUUUUUUCUUUGUAAAUUAUGGUUAUCAUAUAAAUUGUCAACCAAAUGGUUGUUUAAAUAACACUACACUUUAAUAAUUGUUUCCACCUAGUUUUGCGUGCAAUGCAUGAUUUUGGAAGGCAACAUAGGGUGUUGAUAUCCCACACAUCAUGACUCUUAAUUAUUUGUACAACUAUUUUAUGAUAAUUCUGUAGAGAAUUUUAUUUUUUUUCUUAGUUUUAUAAUUCAGAUAAAAAAAGGUUAGUAAUACCGAGUUGUCAAACAAUAAGAAAAACUUGCAACUUGUCCUCGUGCAAUUAAAAUAAAAGAUGGUUAAAUAUGUUUUUAAUCUCUACAAAAUCAUAAAUUUUUAAGUUUGGUUUCUAUAAAAUUUUAAUGGUAAUUUUAAUCCUCCAUAAUAUUAUAGUUUGUAAAAAUAGUCCUUAUUUUGAAAACUGUUUACAAAAAAUGGAUACUUUUAGUCUUCCAAAAUAGUCUCUAGAAAAUGCAAAGAGACUAAAAAUGUAUUUUUAUGUUUUUUGUCGGCCCUAGUUUUUUAGUGAGAGAAACUCCACCUUCUCACUAAGUUUUCUUUUUCUUUCAUUUAUCGAGAAUGAGUGGUUUUAUGUCAUCUUUUGACCUUGAAUCACCCAUUUGCAUCCUUUUUCUAUUUCUUUCAAUCUAAAUAAGUGAUUUCCACAUAUAAAGUCUUUCUUUUGUGCUUUUUUGUGAUUUCAUCAUCUGAGUGCGGCGUUGUGUUGUUCGUCGCUUGUGCGGUGUUUUUUUAUUUUGCAUCUUGUUGCGGUGUUCGUUUUGUUCCUAUUGAAAGAUAACUCCAGUCAAUCAAUUACAGAUUCAAUCAUCCGGAAGCAUGGGUGUUUUGAUGAUUUAGAUUUUAUCAUAUUAUUUAGUAAGCAUUUUGUCGUUGUAUACCAUUAACUUGAGUGUUGUGUUUGCAGAUUCACCAUUUACGUUUUUAGCGAUAUUGAUGAUGUUAUUGUUUCUGAUGUAUUCUAUCAAUUUGAAAGAAUGAAUAUCGUAUUGCUUUUGUAAAAAAAAAUGUUUUUUUUUUUUAAAACUAAAUUUAAAAGUUUUUAAUUGUCUAGGGGUUAAAAACAUAUUUAACUAAAUAAAAAAUGAUAUAAAAAUAAAAAAAGUUCCGUGAUAAACACUAUUGAAAUUCACACACAAUCAUGACGUUUCGAAUUUGAGCUCAUAUAAAAGUAACAAUGGACAACUUCAACGGCAAGUAAGCAAUUAAGACCAAACUUUAUGAAGGAAAAAAUGGAUGUAUGGUCAUGGAAAAUUUUAUAAUGAGAUGAUCCAAAUCCAUAAAACAUUUACUAAAGACCUUAUAAAAUGGCGAAAUAUAUUAAGCAAUUUACCCAAUCAUAUAUAGUCAGAGUUUACACUCACAGGUGAAAAGUGACACAGAAACUAACAUUUUUCUUUGAUCAGGCACAAUUCUAAAUUCAUGUUAUUCGUCGGUGGCGGAGCUAAUCGUGUUGAAUCCAUUUCACCAUUCCUAAAAAAUGUAGAUCAAUGUGGUCCUUUUCUUACCCAGUAUUAAUAAAAAUGAUCAUAUUGAAACCUAAAUCUUUUAUGAACCUUAUCGAGACUUUUCAAAAUUAUAGGACCAAACUUAAAAAUAAAAUAAAGUAUCCAUUAACUAGGGGUGGACAACGAACGGGUAGAAAGAGAAUGUAACCGUUUAAAGCUCUCAAAUUCCUUAACGAGACUCAAAUAUUCCAAAAUAUAAACUUGGUGAAAACCAUAACAGUUUAAAGCUCCUUAAGGAUUCUCAAAUAUUCUUCAAUUAGUAUAAAAAAUCAUCAUAACUAAAAAUGGGUAGAUCUAAAAUGUUGAAGAAAAAAAAGAAUGGACAUAGAGAGAGAAUGUAGAUCUAAAAAGAUGGUAGUACACUUGGUCCACUUAUAUAUAUAUAUAUAUAUAUAUAUAUAUAUAUAUAUAUAUAUAUAUACAUAGUUUUAAAAAUCGGACCGGUCAUCGACUCGGUCAUAUCACUAGGUCAAUGAAUCAUUGGUCGAACCACUGAGUCAUUGGUUGAACCGCAUGACUGAACCGUAUUAAAUCGGAUAACUCGGUUGUAUGACUCGGUCUCUAUUAAAAAAAAAAUUAUAACACUUAAAAAAGGAAAAACAAUAUUUUUAUAAAACACUUAUUAACAUUUUUCUUAAAAAAAAAGUGUGUGAAAUAUUUUUCUAAAAAAAAGUGUAUGAACUAUUAUUUGUUUUUACGGGAGGUGUAUAAAAUAUCUUUUAAAUGCAAGAAAGCCAACCUAAAGGUCCACUUAGUCAAAAAAAAAAAAAAAAAGCCCAUCUAAUAAUAAAAACCCUAUUACACUACUUUCCAAGAUGAAGUUAUGCAGCAGCCUCCCUCUUUCAAUUUAGUAGCCGCCACCCUCUCUCAUAUUUGAUCUCUCCCAUUUCUUUUCUUCAUUGUAACUAAGAUCUGGUGUAUACAAUUAUACCUCAUUUCUAAAUUUUCUUUCCAUGAACUAGAUGAGCUUGCUAUCGUGUUCCAUUCUCUCUUCUUUCCUGGUUUUUUCUGAUUUUUUUUUUAUCAAAUUGGAGCAGCUAUGCGUUGAACCGGUCUGGUUCAUCGAACCGGCCGAGUCAUCGGUUUUGGUCGAGUCGUUCCGGUUCUUACCGGUUCGUUUGCAUGGCCGAUCCGUUGUUCAACUCGAACCGGAUAUAUCACCGGUUCACGAUCCGACCGGUUUAACCGGCCGAUCCAGUUCGAGUUUUAAAACUAUGUAUAUAUAUUUUAGUAUGUACUCAGAUCGGAUGGUUAUCGGGCAUGUACGGUGAUUCUGUUCGGCCUUACCAUUAACUAUUCCUUCAACAUGGCUAGAUUAAAAUACUGAGUCAAGUUUCACUACUCUCAUGGUGAAAAAACAUGAUCAAGUUAUAAUCACCAUUUUUUUUUCUUUGAAUAAGCCAAAAAUCAUCAAUUUAUGAUUAAUGAACAUAUAGUAUCAAAGACCCAACAAUUGGCUCAAUUAAAUCACAACACAAAAUCAACUUUCAUUACCCACAUGCUGAAAAACCAUGAUAAAGUUUUGCCCACCCCUCUACUAUUGAACAUGUAUGAUUGAAGACUGCCAUAUUUUCUUUGACAUAACAUUGAAGCAUGUAAUUAAAUCAACUUAUUUAAGGAUUAUAUGAAUUUGGAACAAUAUUUUUUUUAACACGCAAAAAUAAUAUAUAUAAUAACGCAAGCCGAGCAAGUUACUAAGCACAAUGAGUGCCAAGAAAACAUGCAAGAAGUUUACAAAAAUUCAACAACAAACCAAGAAAAAUAUGCCAAAAAGAAAGAAAAUAUUAUAAGGUGAAACCCAUGCAUAAUAAAGGGUUGAGCCGCCGACUAUGAUAAUCGAAAGGAAAUGUAGAGUUAGUUGCUUUCAACCAUCAAAAAGAGAGUAGCUUAACCUUCUCUAGAAGUUGAUGCACAUGAUCUUUCUUUUGAUUAAAAAUCAUCUUGCUCCUUUCUUUCCAAAUCACCCACAUGUAAGAGAACCAAACCAACAACAAAGUAGAACGAAUGGAUCUGGAAUAACCGCCUUACUGAACAAGCUGAAUCAAAUGAUCCGGUAUGCAUGGCGGAUCAGCUGAAGAUACACCCAAGAACCAUUUAUGAAUAAAAGACUAAAUAAUACAAACAAUAUAUCAAGGCCAAUCUACAUCUUCAGGGAAAGGCACAUUGGAGAAAUUAAUUGUCUUCCCAUCAAGAGUAACCAUAUCAUAAGGUGAAUCUUCUCCAAAUUCAGCUGGCAUUAACUUCCAAUAUAGACUUGGUUCCCACUCUGCUUCUUUGAUGACAUUCAAUAUCUCCUUUGUUACUAUUUCACUCCCCUCAUUUGAUAGAUGAACUCCAUCACUAAGAAAUAAUCAAACCACCUAAUUAAAUUAUUGAAAAACAAAUUUGUAAUAUUUUAGUUUUGGUGCAUACAAAUGCGACCAUACUUACAUGAAACAAAAAUCUCUCCAAUCAUCUCUUUUUUGAAUUGCAGACCACGUAUCAAUGGCCUUGAUUUUCAUCUCACAACACAUGUCCAAACACGCUUCUGAAUAUAUUCGACUUACUUCAUUUGUUCUUAUUGGUUGCCCAAAAUCAUCACUGAGCUCAUUCAAACAAUUUGUUAGUAUUGAUAUAUCAUAGAAUAAUUAGGAAAUGAGAAUGUUAUAGGUUAUUACAUGUUGUGCUUCAUUUGUGCCUCAUUGAUUGGAGGAUUACUGAGAAGUAUAAUCCGAGUUUUCUGUGACAGGCUCUAUCCAUCAUUAGGAAUUAUGUCGAAAUUAACAUUCAGAAAAAAAAUUAACAAGUAAAAGUAAAAAUUUAUUAUUGGUAAUAAGAGGAAAUCAAAUAUCAGACGAAAACUUAAUUUUAUACACAAAGUACACAAGAAUUUCAUGAAGUAGGAAACAAUUAUUCAGUCUUUUUUUACGCAAUUGUGUCCUUUCAAAAGAAAUUAAUCAAAUUAGAGUUGUAAAGAAAAUUUAUUAAAAAAUAAAAUAAAAUACUCUAUAAGUGUACAAUUACGUAGGAAGAUGAAACUUACUAUGACUAUUGUAACCAUCAUUUUUUUAUGGGUAACCAUGAUAUUGAUAAGAAGUUUCAACCGCCGCUUAUAAGUGAUUAAUCUUCAUCGGGGAACAUGUGGAGCACAUAAGAUGAGUUCUCCCCUCCCAAUCAAUUUUUUUCCCAUACACAAAAAUUGAACAUCACAUUUUGACAUCAAUUUCGAUAGUUAUUAAAUUUAAACACGUGAUUAAUUACGAUUUGUGGAUUGUCCGUGAAUAUAACAACAUAUCGCAUCUCAACAACCAUCUAUUGAACCCAAAUACAUAAUACAAUUUUGAAUGUCAUCAACUAUAUUUUCAUUUGUUCAAAAUAUACAUUCAUUUAACAUUCAAAUUGUGUUCAAAUAUAUACGAGUUUUAUGUGUUUAAAUGUACACUUGAAAAUUAUGGUUAAUGAUGUUCAACAUUGUAGUUAACCAUACUCAAUGGAUGUUUAAUGAGUUGAGUCACUUUUUUAUUUAUUUACUUAGUUUUUUAUAUUUUUUCAAAGAGCCUAAAAUGGUUAACUUAUACACACUAAGUGCAAAGAAGUAAAGUAUUCUAGAUUCAAACAUUUGUCUCGACAUAACAAAUAUUUGUCGGUACAACUAGGGAUGAGAAUAGGUUAAGCUGAGGUAGGCUUUGCAAGGCCAAAGUCUAGCCUGUCAAAUUUUUGUAAGGCCUAAGCCUGGUCUGCGGCAUAUCAUAUGCUUACUUUUUAGGCUUAAGUCUGACCUUAUGAAGGUCUGAUUAGGCCUGCUAGCCUGUUUAAAAUCCUAUUUCAUAUGAACAUCUUUAAAUAAGUAAUGUGAUUCAAGGUUAAAUAGACUAACGAGCUAAUAGAUCAAUGAUAUUAAACUCUCUUUCGGUAUUUAACAAUGAAGUUUUAGAGAACUUUAUUAUAUAUUAUAUCAUCUUUCAAUUCUAAUUUAUAAUAAUACAUUUAAAUAUGCGAAAAAUAAUGUAAACUAAUAAGUUUAAAUUAUUUUAAAAGUUGACAAAUUUAUAAUUUAAUUCAAAGUAGAGUAUAUAAUAUAAUAAUCAAUAAUAUUAUUCAUAUUUAUAUAAGUAGGUCGGCCUAAUAGGCCUAAAAGACUUUUCUAAUAGCAUGUGGUCUGGCCGUUUAAGCUAAAUAGGCUUCUAUAAAGGCCCAAGCCUUGCCUAUUUAAGAAAAAAGUCUGAUCUGACCUGUCGUAGGCUAGGCUGUAGACCGGUCUGACCUAUUCUCAUCCCUAAUUACAACUACUGAUUAAGUUGUACGUACAGAAUUGUCAUCUUAUUAUAUUUAUUAAUCAUUAAAUUAUAUUAUUAACCACGUAUUUCAAUUGUGUUGAACAUUUAAAUAUAUGUCGAUAUUUGAAAUCAAGAUAACAAUACUCUUUUACCAUUAUAUGGGUAGCAAUCUUCUUCAUAUUUUCUAUGUAUUCCCCCAAUGGUACAUGAGGACCAAGACCACUUGGAUGUGGAGGAAUACAAUCGUUACCGCCAAAGUAUGCAAUCACCAAUGAUGGUUGUUCGAUGGCAUUCUGUAUUAGAGAUGACCAGUAUCAGGAUCAGUCUUCAUCAACAAAAUAAAAUAAUCACACUGUACACCACUGUAUGUAAAUAUAAAAAAGAAAAAACUUAAAAACUUAUGUCUAUAUUGCAAAUGGUAUACAUUAAAUUCAAUAGGUUUAAUACUAUGAAGGUCUAUAUAUUCUUCUCAAUAUGUCAAAUUGUCAAUGUCACCUUCCUAGUAAUCAUGUUCAAGAUAUUAUGUAAAUGGUUUUCUUUUUCUCUCACAUUAAUCAGCAACAUACAUAUUUGUGAAGGGCAUCACUUUUAACAAUAAUUUCAUGGAGAAAGUAUAAAAAUUUAAUCCAACAUUUGGUCUAAAAAAUAUCAGUUUUUAUCCUAGUUUUUAGAGAAAAUUUGAAUAACAAGAUGCCUUCAACAAUCAUAUACACAAUACCUUGGAAAAUAUUUUAUCCAAAACUUGGAGAGCAUGCCUUGAAUUCCAACCAGCAUAUCCCCGUAAAAGUAUAUCAGCCUGCGUCAAACCAAUGUUGGGUGUAGGAUAAGCAUGAAGACCAAUGUUGUAAUUGUUUAUAAUCAUAAGAUAAAGUGUUCCUCCAAUCACCCAAACAAAUUUGUGAUAGUGAUAUAAGUUUUAAAAUUUCUAAUAUUUGCCAAUAUAUGUGAUUAUCUAAAAUCUUAUUUUUCAUUGCUAAUAUUUAUAUGUGAAAAAUCUAAUGAGUAUAGCUUAUAUAGUAAAAGAAUUAAGAGUUUUUUUUUAAUAUGCUAUGUCAUGGAUUCGAACAUGUAGUUUCCUACUCAUAGUGUGUGAUUUUUGCCACUAAACUCUAUUAUUUCGAAAAGGUAUCGAAGAAUCUACAAUUAGAGGAAGAAAUAAUAAUACCUUGCGAGCAUACAAGUGAGAAAGAGUAGCUCCCCAACCUUCAUAGUAACUGUAUUGAACAAUUGAAGAACCAAACAACACAAAUUUAGGCCUCAUUGUUGUUCCUACCACACGAUGACAAUUGGGGUGAGGAUGAAGACUUAUACAUGUAGUUUUUUAAUUUUUCCUAUAGACGUUUUAAUUUUUAUGCACAAGCUACAUUUGCUUGUCAAAUCUAUUAUCUUUAAUUAUUGGGAAAAGAUAUUUUGAAAACCUUAGGACAACACACUGUUCCUGUAUAUGUACUUUUUGUUUUUUUUAAUAAUUGUUUCUUCACCUAGUCGAUUUGAUUGCAAUGCAUGAUUUUGGAAGGCAACAUAGGGUGUUCAUAACCGACAACUCAUUUGAGUUGAUCAUAUAUCAUGGCUCUUGAUUAUUGAAUUAUAAUAUUUGUAUGAUUAUUUUAUGAUAAAUUUUUAGUUAAUUUUUUUUUUUUUAGUUUUAUGGUUAAAAAUAAUAUAGAUAAAAAACAAAAGAGAGAAUAAAACAUAAUUAUAAAACCAUUUUAUAAUAACUAUUUUAUAACGAUUUUUGAAUAACUUUUUCUUUUAUGUUCAUAUUUUUUUAAUAUUUGAUUGUUUUGCAAAAUUAUUGCAAUUUUUUUUAAUAUUUGAAUGUUAACUCACGUUGGUGUCAAAAUAUGACCGAACGUGACUUAAGUCAUAUAAAUUAUAUUUCAACAUGAUUUAAGUCACGUUGGAUUUAACAUCUGCGUGACUUAAGUUGUGUGGAAGGUAUUUUAGGAAAUUUGGUUGAGAGUAAAUAAUUUUUGAUGAAAGAAGAGCAAUUUUCUAAUAAUUAUAACUAUUUUUUUUUUUUACAAAAUAAUUAUAACAAUUGAAGAACCAAAUAACACAAAUUGAGGCUUAGAGUAGUCAUUGCUCCUCACACACUCCGACAAGGAUAAAGACUUAUACAGAUAGUCAUUAAUUAUUAACCUCAAUUAUUUGUAGUUUGGUUGUUGUGCAAUUAUACUAAAAGUAUAUAGUUGGUCAGAGUGUUGAUUAGAGCAGUGAUUGGCAUACAUCCUUAUGUGGCAAACACCUCUUGACCUCCACUUAAAAAAAUGACAUGUGGCAACGUGGGCUCCACAUAUCCACCAAAUGUCUCUCUCUUCUCUUUUCCUUCAUCCCUCUCUUCUCCGAUGGACCGCCGCCGUCGCCCCCACCACCACCACCACCAUCAUCAAUAUCGAUCCCCUUCCUCACCACCACCAUUUUUACCAUCACCGGAUCUGCUCAGAUAUGUCUUAACCGUCGUCGCCCAGAUCUGCGAUUUUCCCACACUUCGUUCUUUACACCACCGCCACCGUCAACCCAUCACCACCGCGUCACCAUUGCUCUCAACUCUUAUCUCGCAAUCUCAUCUCUCUCUUCCUUCACCCUCACCGGAACACCCACCAUCCUCUAUAUAAACCAUCCUGUUAGUGGAGGAGAUCAAUUUACGAUGUCAAUAGGGGUUGGUAUGCCUUCAAUAUGAUUUUUCAUUACCAAAGCAUUAGCAUUAUUCAAACUAUUAAAGGAAUUAUUUGAGGUUUGCACUACCGUAACAACAACUGAGUUUCUCAUGUAAAAUACCCCACAUGAGGUGGAAGUAGUGUGGAAUGGUCUUUCCUCAAAUAAUUUCAUUAACAGUAUCAGAGAUGGAUGUAGUGCGGUUAGUUAUGAGAGCUUGAGAGAGGUCUGAGAAAGUUGCAGAGAGAUUUGGGGAAAGAGAUGAUUAGUGGAUGAUUCAGAAAAAAAAAAUUAAAUAAAAAUGCCACAUGGAGGAUGUUUAUUGGAGGUGUACAAAGUGUGUAUAAUGUGAAGUGGUCCAACUAUAAUUUUCCGUUGAUUAUGCCAAGUAUGUGGCUAGAGUAAUUAUUAUAUAGUCACGAGCCUAAAUGAAUAGUAUUUGAGGACAUAAUUUUUUUUGUUUUGAUUUACUUUUUUAAUAGAUCAAACAAAAAUAAAAAUUUCUUGAAAAAAAUAAAAUUGGUUUUUGUUUGGCCUAUUAGAUGGUAAAUCAAAACAAUUUUUUUUUUUUUUUACAGGGGAUAAAUAAAAAUAUAUAUAUAUUUUACAGGAGGGAAAACAUGAAAUGACAUAUAUUACAGGGGAUAAAAGUCUAUUAACCCUUGAAUUUUUAUGACAUCAAUACUCAAUUUUUUUUUUAAGCAAUCAAACUUAGCUCAUCACUAAAAAUGAGUGGGGUUGGGAAUUGACAUAGUGGAUCUGCAGGGACCUACGGUCUGACCUGUUUAGGCUUGACGGUUUAUUAAAAAUGAUAUAGCUUUUUGAAAAAUCAUAUUUAAAUAAAUAUGUCAGACUUCGGCUAUAAAAAAAAGCUCCAAUAUGCAUAUUAUUAAAACUUAUUUUUAUUUAUAUUAAAAUAUAAUUUAUAUUAAACAUAAAAAUCAAGAAAUAACUCAAAUAAUAUACUUUUUAAAUAGGCUUUAAGGUCUUACAGUGAAAUAGGUUUUUAGGGCCUUAUAGUGAUAGACAAGUCUUAUUGUGAAAUAGGCUUUAAGGCCGAUUUAACUUUUUUUUAAGGACCGAUUUAAUCUAUUUAAAAGUAGAUAAAAUGAAUUAUUUAAUGACUUUAAUAUAAAUUAGGCUUGUACGUAGACUUUAAGGCCAUACCAGACUUUUAAAUAGAUCAGGCGGUAAAAUAAUAAACUUACAACUCAAACUUGCAAUUUUUUUCGUACGUCAGGCUUAGGUCUAUCAAAGUCUGAUCUGACCUGAGCUAUUUCCACCUCUAAAAAUUAGGGAUACAACGAAAAAACAGCGAUUAAACCAAGAAAUAGCCACCAUAACCAGAAUAUGCGCAACCAUAUUUAUUUAUCGUUUAAUAAACCGAAGCUCAAUUAUAAGUAUAAUGUGAAAAUAAACUUUAGCUCAAAUAUAAGAAUAAUGUGAUUUUUUUGUUGAGGUAAGAAUAAUUUGAAAUAUUGAAGUUUGACAAAAAAUAUUAUGCAUAUAUUAAGAUUUUUUUAAGGAAAAAGAAAACUUAAUAUAUGCAUAAUAUAUAUUAAGAUUUUAAACAGAGUAAAUAUUCAAUUUAAUCUAAAAAAAAUAGACUCAAGUUAGUCUCUAAAAAAAAAAUUUAAUUAUUCAAAAAAAAAAAAAAAGUUUACGUCAUCGGAGAAAUUUAAACUAGAACACAUUAUUUUCUACAUUUAACUUUCAUCACAAAAUCAAAUUUUGGUUGCUUUAUAUUGUGCCUUAGAAUGGUAGGCUUUUUUUUUUUUUUUUGGUUAAUAGGUCUUUCCCCAUAUAAUAUAGGUCAUUUCUGGUUUUUUUCUCUAUAAUUUAUUUUUAUUUACCCCGUGUAAUUUUUAUUUUAUUUACUCCUCUAAUAGGCCAAACAAAAACCAUUUUUUUUUAAGAAAUUUUCGUUUUUGUUUGGCCUAUUAGGGGGUAAAUUGAAACAAUUUUUUUUUUUACAAGGGGUAAAUAAAAAAAAUAUAAGAGAGAAAACUGAAAAUGAUCUAUAUUAAAGGGGGUAAAGACCUAUUAACUUUUUUUUUUUUCUUUUCAAGUUCACGCUGUAGAGUAACAUUUUGUGCAAUAGAGACAAAAUUGGUCCCUGAACUUCAAAUUACACUAGAAUAAGAUAUUUUAGUUAGUAAGUCAGAUUUUAGAUACCUAGUUUUCUUCUUCCUCUUCUCUGCAUUGAAUAAGCUAGGGAUCAACGACAGUCUUAAGAUUUUUGGGAUAUUGUUAUAUUUGAAAGGGGAUCAUGACAAGAUAAUCAAUUUGUCCUUUUGGUCUUCAAGAGAGAAACAACAAUAAUUUUUUGAGUUUCAACUUCAAGUGUGAGUGGGUAAAAUGAUCGAUAUAUAAGAGAUGUGAUUCAUAUACAUAAUGUCUUAAGGUUUUGGGUGGAGUCGUGACUCCCUUUUAUAGGAGCUCUAACUCUUCGUUACAAAAUGUACCAUUCAAAAAUGCUUUAAACUUAUCUAGCUUUUUUCUUCUCUCUUAUACUCUUGUCUUAGAGUGUUGUGAGAUGUAAUUAGGUAUUUGCUUUGGAGGGUACGGAUGUACUAGGACAAAGGGUGUUGUAUAUAGUGUUAUUACAUGGAUGUCAUUAGACAACUAUCGUGGUUUUUUCUCCUGCUUUGGAGUUUCCACAUUAUAUGAUUGUGUUCCUUUAUUUAUUUUCAAUGUUGGUUUUUUCCAACAACGACUAUUAGAGCUUUUGGUUCGGCCCAAGGAUAGGAGUUCUUAGUAGUAUUUAUGGUUGCAACAUUGUCUGAUCUUUCAUAUCAAAAAAGAAUGGUAUUGUAUAAUUGUUGAAAUCACAAGUUCAGCUCUGAAGUUUAGCUAGAGUAAAUUGUUGGAAAAAUCAAUUUUGACUUGUAGAAUUUUCAAAGUUAAGGAUAUGUGAAUACAAUAGAGAUUACACAAGGUGUUGAUUAGUACAUUAGCAUUUAUUUACAUUGAUGCAAUUAUGCUAUGAGAUUAUGUCGAUGGUUGAAGAGCUUCCUGCAAACAUAAAAAUUUCAUUGUAAGUUUUCAGUUUGAUUUUUGACAUGAAAAUUCUUGGAAUGGUUUAACUUUAAGCAAAGUAAAAUCUAAUGGAAGACUAUGAUAGUACUUCUAUAAUUGUCAAACAAUUUGAAAAGUUAGCUUCAAGUGACUAUACUUCAGAUGAUGGAGCAUGAUGGUUCUUUUGAACUACGAGUGUUAAUGACGACAAUGGAAAUAAAUGUAUUAUUUUCAAUUAAGGUAAAGAUUAUCGGUGUUGGUUGAAAAAUACAUGUUGAAGAAGUCUUGAACCGCUUAAAAUUGUAAAAGAAGAGGGAAACCAAAGACUAUAUAUACGAGCUUUAGUUCUUAGUUACAAGAUGCAUCGAUCAAAAACACUUUAAGCUUGUAACUUACAUCCUCCGGUCACUAAUAUAAGCAAAAAUCUACUUUUUAGAUACAUUCAAUUAAUGAUGUAUGUGAUCCUUAUUAUAUGUCACAUACAUCAUUAAUUGAAUGUAUCUAAAAAGUAGAUUUUUGUUUAUAUUAGUGACCGGAGGAUGUAUUUUUUUUCUUAUCUUACACUCUUGUCUUAGAGUAUUGUAAGAUGUAGUUAGAUAUUUGUUUUUGGAGGAUGUUGGUGUACUAGGGUUGGAGGGUGUUUGAGUGUAAUAUAUAUGUGUUGUGAAAUUUGCAUAUAGUAUUCUAGUUAUUAUUUGAUAACGAUCGUGGUUUUUUUCUUCGAUUAUGGAGUUUUCAUGUUAUUUUAUUGUGUUGUGGUUGUGUUCUUUUAUUUUUCUUAUGCUAGUUUUUUCAAACACAAUUAACUAUGUCAGCCGAAAAGUAAGCAAUUUAAUGUUACAUCUUAGUAUGAAUAGUUAGAUGGCUCUUUAUCAAACUUUAACGAUAUUUAUAAAGAAAAAAAUUGAUGUAUGGUGGUGAUGGAUAAAUGUUAGCCUUAAUUGUAAUUUAGGUCCUCUAUUUUUUGUCAUCUUUUUAGAUUUGAUCUCUCUAUUUUAAAAUCUCAUAGUUUUGGUCCUUUCAUUAUAUUUUUUAACAAAAAAUUGAUGAUGUGAUAACUUUUAAAUGAUAUGGUAGGAGUAUAUUGACUAUUGAAAAAGAUCAACAUCAAUGAAAUUGUCAAAAAAAAAAAUUAAAAAAAAUUAUUUAAUAUCAUCAUAUUUUAUACUAAAUAUUCAAAAGAGUGACCAAAACAAUAAAAUUUUAAAGUAGGGUAACAAUUUUGCAAAAUGGUAAAAAUGGAAAAACCACAACAACAAUUAAACCAAAAUUUCACCAGAAGAUGAUCCAAAUCCAUAAAACAUUCACUAAUAAUUUUUAAAUAUUACCAUUGAUUAUUAGUCCAUGUGAAUUGAAUGGUGCAGGGAAUAGUGGUUGGUUUCAGGGGUAAUGGGUGAUUUAAUUUCAUGGUGAGUACACUUUAGAGGUCCAUUGUUUGCCUCUGAUUUUACCCCGUUAUUACUUGUCAUUAAGCUACACAUUGGAAGGUAUAUAUGUUUUCAAUUUUCUUUUUCCAAUUUACUAAUAAUUCUUAUAUUUUAUGGAAUACGUUUUUGUUUAAUUGUUUGAGAUUAAUCUAUAUAGUCAGUACCCACUAUAGUUAGUGUUGAGCAAAAUUGUGACAAACUCAUUUGUAUAGUGUUUCUUGGUUCAAUCUGUUUAAGUCAACAUUUUUUUUUUAGAUAUCCAUGGUCUUUUGCCCUUCUUAGCUUUUUAAAAGAAACCAUUUUUCAUUUCAAGAUUUUUAGGCUUAAAAACAGUACACAUCUCUCCUUUUUUAUCUGAGUUGUACAUGAUUUAAGUCAAAAUCGUUUUAUCAAGUGAGUGUUUUGGACUUUAAGAAAAAUGUGAAGGAAAAAAAUCAUAACUAAGCUAGCAAAUGGUAUGAAAGGCUUUAACUUUAUGGACAUGGCAAGGCUUUAAAUACCACUUGUAAGAAUAAAUUAUUAAAAUCAUAUAGGCUUUAUCUGGGGAAGGUAAAAUAAUUGAGGUACUAUGAAUACUUUUGAUUUUUAUGGGGAAGGCUUUACAUUCUUGACCUACAUGGAAGCAUUUUGUUUUUCUUCUCUCAUUUUAAGGCUUUUGUCUGUUAUAGCCGUAUUUUUCUUGCUGCCACAUCUGACAUACAAUCUGGCCCUUUUUUCAAACUGUAUUUGAUCCCUUAGCUAAAUUAUCUUUUGUUAAACUUUUGGCAGGUUUGCAAGUAACAAUUACAAAUGAAGACAAAUGGUAACAUAAGGUUAUCAAUCUUUGUGGAAGUAGUCUUGGCAGGAAGAGUAGCCAUCAAGAUGAUGCCAUUGAACUUGGAAAUGAAUUAGGUAUAUAUUAAUAAUUCAAUAUUCUUGAAAAAAGUUUUUUAUCUGUUUUUUGUGGAUGAGGUGGAAAUGGUUAAACUUUAUCAUGACAUUGAAUUUUCUAAUUCCUUGUAAAUUUCAGUUUUUUUUAAAAAAAAUCUUGUUAAUGCGUUGUUUUUCAGUACCAUACUUGCUAGUGAAAUUCAUGACAUACUAAUGUGAUUAACCAUUAUGAUGGUUAUGGAGAAUACUUGCUAGUAAAACACAUAAUAAUGAACUUAUAAACACUUUAUCCUUGUUAUGGAGAAUACUUGCUAGUAAAACACAUGACUUAUAAACAUGAUAAACCAUAAUAAUGAACUUAGUCAAUUUUUCUUUUGCCAUGCCUUAUAAUAAACUCUCUUAGUAAAAGUGUGAACCGUGAAUUCCAUUGUAUGCCUCUUGGACUCCUCUUAUUUUCCUUUCAUAUAAUGAUCGAAUGAACACAAAUACAAAUAAUAAUAUAUGAAUAAAUUACAGGAACAAAAAUUAGUAAGAUGACACAUGUUUGUUUAUUGAAGAAUUAAUUUUAUUAGACACAUGGUAAGUAACAUUGGUAAAAUUAUAAUUUCCGGAGACAUCUUAUGGAUGACUGAUGCUGUGAUGCAUCUUUCUUAAUCUACACAAAUCUGCAGAUCAUGUUCUUGUUAACAUGCCUGCUUGGCUGCUAUCCAAACGCUUUUGAGGAAUAGUUUGAUGAAGGAUCUACACAAAUAUGCAGAUCUGAUGAAGGAAUUAUCUGAUGAGGACUUGUUUAUAUGCUUGUUUGUUGCUGUCCAUAUUACACAUUAUCACUGUAAGUAAAAAAAAUGAAAACAAUUGUGUAAAACUUGUAAUCUCUUGUUUAUUAUUAAAAAAAUGAUGGCCUUCCAUUUUUGAGUUCUUUCUCAUUCAUUCACUUUAUUAUUCAACUGUAAGUUGUUACGAAUUUGGAGAAAAUUUAUAAUUUAUUAUUUUUAGCUUGCAAUUGGUUUUUGAUUGUUUUGUGAAUAACAUGAAAUAAUUUUUUUUACUUAAUAAUAUAUGCAAACAGACACACACACAAACACAUAUUUAGCCAUAUAACUCUGUUUUGUACUAAGAAUGUUAUGAAUGAAGAGAGGCUCUGCAUUUAAGGGUUAUACCUUAAACUUGUUGGAGAAUAUCUAUAGAAAAAAAUUAGAUGUAGCUGUCAAUGCAGAAAAGAUGGUAGACUCUUUGGUGAGGUUUGGUUAUGUGGGGGGAGGAAACCUGGAGAAAAAAAAGAGACAGAAAUGAGAAAACUAUCACCAAGAGAGUUAACAGUAACUAUCCAAAAAAAAAGGAGUGAAGAGUUGUUAUACCUUAAAUUUGCCUAUUUGUAGAAUAUCUAUCAUUUGCUUUCAUAUGAAGGGCUUCCAGCUGAAACAAUGAAGAGAAUAACAGAAAUUUUAUGAGCACCAUGAGUUUUGUGAACUAAAAUUCAAUUUUUCUUCCCCACACUAACUUUGUUAAAUAUUCUAAUCAUAGUGUUCUUUUGACUUGCCUUCAUGCUGCUUGCUGCUGGCGUGGUUCCUCCUUCAAGAAUGCCUUGAGCUGGCUGUGGAAACCUAUGGAUGGGAGACAAAGAAGAGGCAAAAAGUUGCAUAAUGAAGAAUGACAUAGAGAUGUUCAUGUACUUGUACUGUAAAGAAGAAUAAAAAAAAUGCAUACCAAUGAGAUAAGUUGUUGUAUCACGUAUAACCUGCAUCGUCAAUUGUAAGAGUAUGUAAAUGUAAAUUUAUCAAACAUCAUGAAAAUCCACAGAACAACAUGAAGUAAAAGGAAGCAUAAAUUAGACAAAAAAAAUGCAUAAAUUUACCUGGCUUGCAAAAUGUAUGAGAGAGAGAGAAAGAGAAAGGCAAGGCAAGAGGCAUAAAUUAGACCAACAUGAGUGAAUGUGAUGGCAAGGCAAGGCUUUAAAUACUACUUGAGGGAAGAGAAAGAGCCUUGGGGAGAAAGGGCCUUGGAGCGUGAGAGAGAGAAAGGGCCUUGGAGUAGCACACAGCACUACAGUAGUAGCACACAGCACUACAAAACAAAAUUACUUUUAGCAGAAAUAUAGCUCACAGCACUACAGUAGUAGCACAUAGCACACAGCACUACAGUAGCACCUAUUCAUGUACUUGGCUGAAAGCGACCCGCCAAGCUUGGAGAAGGGCGGAUUUCGCUGGAAAGGGAAGAAAACGCCAAAAUUGGGCGAAAUCCAUUGUAAGAUUUAUUGAUUCAAUGAAUUAGGGCAUAAGUCGUAAUCCAUAGUGUUGUUAAAUGUAAUUUUAAAGCUAAUCACGUGUCUUAGAUGUGGAAUUUUUUAGUCUUAUUGCUAUUACUAGUGUUUUUUCACCAAUCAUCCAUCUAACAUAAUUGUAACUUGUUCAUUUUUAUUUUUUGACAAAUUCAUGUAACUUAUUUAAUUAGUGUAUGUAAAUCCACUUGCAUAAUAGGGUAUCAAAAGCUCCAAUGUAAAACUAAUUGUGAGUUGUUGUAUAUAAUAAAUGCAUCUAUUGACUAUUCCAUCAACAUGGCUCGAUUAAAAUACUGAGUCAAAUUUCACUACUCACAUGGUGAAAAUUCAUGAUCAAGUUAUGUUCACCCAUUUCUUAAUGAACAUGUAAUAUCAAUGAUACAACAAUUGGCUCAAUUAAACCACCAUAAAAAAAAAAAACAAAUUUCAUUAUUCACAUAGUGAAAAACCAUGAUCAAGUUUUGCUCACCCAUCUAAUAUUGAACAUACAAUUUCCAUAAGGAUUCUAUGAAUUUGGAAUAAUAUAUCAAGGCCACUCUACACCAUCAGGAAAAGGCACAUCGGAGAAAUUAAUAUUUAUCUUCCCAUCAAGAGAAACCAUAUCAUAAGGAGAAUCUUCUCCAAAUUCAGCUGGCAUUAACUUCCAAUAUAGACUUGGUUUCCACUCUGCUUCUUCGAUGACAUUCAAUAUCUCUUUUGUUACUAUUUCACUCCCCUUGUUUGAUAGAUGAACUCCAUCACUAAGAAAUAAUCAAAUCCCCUAAUUAAAUUAUUGAUAAACAAAUUUGAAAUAUUUUAGUUAGGUGCAUACAAAUGAGAUCGUACUUACACGAAACAAACAUCUCUCCAAUCAUCUAUUUUCUGAAUUGCAGACCACAAAUCAAUGGCCUUUAUUUUCAUCUCACGACACAUAUUCAAACACGCUUCUGAAUAUAUUCGACUUGUUUCAUUUGUUCUCAUUGGGUUCCCAAAGUCAUCACUGAGCUUAUUCAAACAAUUUGUUAGUAAAGAUAUGUCAUAGAAUAAUUAGGAAAUAAUAAUGUCAAAGAUUAUACAUUUUUUUAAGGGAAAAAGGUUAUUACAUGUUGAUCUUGAUUUGUGCCUCAUUGAUGGGAGGAUUACUGAGCAAUAUAAUUCGAGUCUUGUCUGAUAGACUCUGCCAAUCAUUACGAAUUAUGUCAAAAUUGACAUUCAUAAAUAUUUUUUGAAUAGUAAAAACAAAAUUAACAUUGAUAAAUAUGAGAUGAAAACUAAAUUUCAUACACAAAUGACACAAGAAUUUCAUAAAGUAUGAAACACAAUUAUUAUCCUCUCCAUUUGGAAAAAAAAAAAUAAAGUUUUGUAAGUUGGAGAGAGAUAGACACAAAAAAUAGAUGGUGGGUCCUACCACUAAGUGGGUCCCACCAUCAUUAAUUAUAUUUUAUUUUUUUCAAAAUUUUAUGUGUCUUUAUCUCUUCAAAUUAAAAAAAUGGAGAAACACAUAAAUGGAGAGGAUCAUAACCCAAAAUAACAAUACCCUUUUACCAUUAUAUGGAUAGCAAUCUUCCUCAUAUUUUCUACGUAUUCCUCCAAUGGUACAUGAGGACCAAGACCACUUGGAAAUGGAUGAGUACAAUCAUUACCACCAAAGUACACAAUCACCAAUGAUGGUUGCUCAAUGGCAUUCUGUAUUAGAGAUGACAAGUAUCGAAGUAUCAUGGGUGAGUAUUUGUCAACAAAAUCAAAAUAAUCAUAUUGUACACAACUAUAAAUGUAAAUAUUCAAGCAUAAAAACUUAUGUAUAUGCUGCAAAUGAUAUUCAUUAAAUUCAUUACAUUCAAUACUAUGAAGAUCUAUAUAUUCUUCUCAAUAAGUUGAUGCCACCUUUCUUGUAAGUUGGGUCAAGAUAUCAUGUAAACGGUAUUUUUUUCCACAUUAAUCAGCAACAUAUAUUUUUUUUUUUUGACAAAAGUAACAUAUAUAUUUAUGAAAGGCAUCACUUGUUAACUUAAUUCAUGGAAAAAAGUAUAAAGGUUUAAUUCAACAUUUAGUCUCCUAUUUUUCAAUAAAGAGGUCUCCUUUUUAUUUUAUACUUUUUUUAUCAAAAGAUGCCUUCAUCAGUCAUUAUAUUCAAUACCUUAGGAAAUAUUUUAUCCAAAACUUGCAGAGCACGCCUUGAAUUCCAAGCAGCAUAUCCCCGCAAAACUAUAUCAGCCUACAUUAAAUCAAUGUUAGGUCUUCCAAAAAAUUUGUGAGAGUGAUAUAAGUUUAAUUUUAUAAUUUCUAAUAAUUGCAUAUAUAUAUAUAUAUAUAUAUAUAUAUAUAUAUGUGUGUGUGUGUGUGAUUAUCUAAAAUCUUAUUUUUCAUAGGCAAUAUUUAAUUAUAAGUGAAAAAUUUAUAAGUACACCUUAUAUUUUGAAAGACCGAAAAGACUUUUGAUAUUCUAGAACAUAGAUUCGAACUCGUUUUUUCUUAUUUGGUGUGUGAUCUUGGUCACUACUCACUAGACUCUUUUAUUUCGAAAAUGUACAUAACCAAUUAAACUUUACGGUAUUGAUAGUCAGAGGAAGAAAUAAUAAUACCUUACGAGCGUACAAGUGAGAAAGUGUAGCUCCCCAACCUUCAUAGUAACUGUAUUGAACAAUUGAUGAACCAAACAACACAAAUUUAGGCCUCGUUGUUGCUCCCCAACUCUGCAAUGGAAGAACCUUCUUUAUUGCUCCCCAACCUUCACCAUAAUAUCAUUGUAUUGAACAAUGGAUGAACCAACAGCACAAAUCAACACUCUAGUAUAAAGGAAAUGGAUUCUCUAUCUUUACUUUUUUAUUUUUAUUUUGAUGAUUUUCGUGUAUUUAGUAGAGAGUUCGAUGAUGAAAAUAAAUUAAUUAGAUGGGAGAGAAUGAUUGUUCAAAAUAGAUAGAGAAAAAGUUACCAGAGAGAGGGGAUUGAAAGGUAGAUAAUAUGCAUCCCAUAACUUCUGAGUUGAAAUAGUUUUCUCUAUCUUCUCAAUGUUAUGAUCAGAUGGUGACUUGUUUUAUGAUUAUUGUUCCUACCACACCAUGACAAUUGAGUGAGGGGGAUGAAGACUUUAUAUUCAGGUAGUUGUUUAUUUUUUCUAUACACGUUUUUAUUUUUAAUUACCAAGAGAAAACGUCCAACCAUAAUUGGUACUAGUUUAUUAAAAACCAAAUCUUUUUUUUUUUAAAAUAUUAAGAACCAAAUCUAUUAUCUUCAAUUAUUAUAAUUCAGAUCGAUAGGAUUAGUAGUGCUGAGUUGUCAAGCAAUAAAAAAAAUUGCAACUUGUCCUUGUGAAAUUAAAAUAAAGAAUGAUAUAAGAAUAAGGAUUUUUUUAGUUUGUAGGCAUUAGGCAAAGUGAGAAACACGAGGUGUAAUUCACACUCGUAACUACAAGGUUCUCAAUUUAAAUAUAGAUCAUGUCCAAUUUAAUACUUUCGUUUUAAAAUGAACGUCGUUUAAGAUUUUUAUGCACAUAUUAAAAAAAUGCAUUAAUUAAAAGAAAGAGAAAUAGUAUUUUAUCAAAUUAUUCUAAUCAACUUUUUUUUUAGUCAGGUAGCAUAGCGGUUAGAAUUCACCUUAUAAGGUGAAUAAGUGAGGUGUUUGAGGUUCGAAUCCCGGUCCCUAUAUAUAAUAAUGCAUUGUCCUACGAACUAAACUAUGCUCACGGGACUGAUUUAUUUUUAAUUAAAGAAAAAAAUAAUACUUUGCUAGAACAGCAUUCAUUUUAAGACUAAUGGAGUAUAAAAGUAAGGAUUUAAUUUAUUGACUUCGUAUAACUUUUUUAUAUGAUAUCCCCUACUCUUUUUUUUAAAAAAAAAAAGGAUGGAAUAGCAACAAAUAAAUAAAAAAAAACUCAAAAAACAGAUAGGGAGGCCAAACCAAACCUCUCUAAUGAGUUAUAAACCUAUAGUUAGGUAAACCUAAUCUAUUUCUACCAAAAGAAGAUCAUAUGCACAUAGGAAGAUUAUACCAAACAGUGAGAUUAGCAACAUCAGCACCUAGAUUAGCAAAAGAGUCUGCACAAACAUUACCUUCUCUAUAUAUACGAGAUGCCAAAAAGUUCAUACUACUAGUUAAUUGCAAGCAAUUCAACCAUCUGUUUCUAAGAUGCCAAGGAACUAUGGAUUGAUUUUUGAAGGCACUAACCACCACUUCUGAAUCCACUUCAAGCCAAAGAUUGGUCAAAUAAUGAGUGUUGGCUAACUCAAUAGCUCUCAUGGCACCUGACAGCUCAGCAUGCAAAGAAUCACCAACUCCAGUAUUUUCGCCAAAGCAAAUCAUGUGGUCUGCUUUGCAGUUUCUAAAUAUGCCUCCACAAGAUGAUAAAUUCCCGUUAGAAGAACCAUUUGUGUUACAUGUUACCCAUCUAAUAGGAGGAGGCCGCCAUAUUACCUCUAUUAUAUUUGGAGCUCCAUGAGGAUGAAGAUAAACAUUGAACUUCUUCAAAAUGACAAAGUUGGCUAUAUUAGGAGAUGCAACUUUCUUUGAGAGAUUACCAUAUAAAGCGACAUUAGAAGUAAUAGAAGCAAUUAAAGACUUCCAAGGAAUUUUCUUGUUUUGAAAUCUUAUUUGGUUUCUUGCGAACCAAAUGUUAUUGAUGAGAUUUAUUAGAGCAACAGUGACCACAACUUUACAUUGAGGGUUCCAAGAACCAUUGCAAAUGUUCCAAAUGUCCUCUUUUGUUUGAAAAUUGAGAUUGCAGUUAAAGAUAGAGGCCAACCAUCAUAAACCUCCAAACAAGCAAAUAUUUAGAGGGAGGAAUAUCAGCAUACCAAAUCAACUUAGCCCAAUUAACUUUAGGUAAAUGAGUUUGUUUGAAAUGAUAAGCAUCUUUAAGAGUUAAAUCACCCUUAGAAUUAUGAUUCCAAACCAGUCUAUCCCUCCUGCAGAUUAUAGGGAUUGUGACCUGUGCAACAAGAUUUCUCAGAUUAGGAAUAAGAUGAGACAAGUCAUCAAGGAAAGACCAUCUGAAAUCAUGAAUAUAAGCAUUUAAAUUCUUAGGAUACUGAUCAAUCUGUUGUUGAUUAAGAUUAGAGCUUUCUGCUAAAAUAACACCACACUAAUUAUCAUGCCAGAAGUUAAUGACACCACCAUUACCAACUAACUAGUUGGAGUUAUCUAGCAAAGUUAAAAAUUCAGAUUUAAUUCCACUCUAGAGAGAAGAAAAAUGUGAUACUGGAUUCAGGAAGACUCCCUCAACACUUUGCUUCUAAGAAUAGAAGCCCAUUGCUCAUCAGAUUGAAACAAUUUCCAACAAGAUUUAAGGUUAGUUGCAUUAUUUAGACAAAUUAGAGAUCUAAUACCGAGGCCUCCCUUAUCAAAAUUAGUACAAACCUUUUUCCAAGUAAGUUUACAAGCCAGGAGUAAAUAUUCAUAGUAUGAACAAGCAUAUGUUGAAUAACUGACUUAACCAGCUCAAUUCUACCUGCAAUAGAGAGCAGGUAGAUCAUAUGAGUAUUUAUCUACUAAUGUUAGAUCUUAGAUUAUACUUAUGUGUAUUUAUCUAUACUAUGUAUAAAAAAAUCAUAUGACUUUGAGCUGACUUUUUCUUUUCCUAUAUUACUCUUCUUUUAAGCUACUUUAUGGUUUAUUAUUUUAUCUUUUAAUAAUAUUAUUCAAAAAAAUUAAUUAAAUUUUUUUAAUGAUAUUAAAAUAGGACUGUCCCAUUACGAUAGGAACAAUAUCUAUCUACACUAUAUGUAAAGGAAUAAGGGAUUUUAGGAUGACUUUUUUUUAUUAUUUCAAUUAUACCCUUAAACAAAUUUUUCUAUAUUAAUGUUUUAAUGUUGGGGUUAUUAAGAAAAAUUAGAAUUUUAUAUUAUAUUUGUUGUUAAACUAUUGUUGUGAUUGAAAAAGAUAGGCAUGGUUUGUUGGAUUUGUUACAAUUUGAAAGUCUCAAAUAUUUAUACUUAUAAUUUUAAUCAUAAUCAAAAUUUUAUAUAAAAUACCGCUUAUAAUUUAUAAGUGUUAGCGUAAUAAAAAGAGCGGAAAGUAAAACACGUGAAUGUUUCUCUUUCCGCUAAUUUAUCAUAAUUUGAUUGGAUGCAUUUACAAAACGAAGUCGAAUUAAAUAUAUUAAAAUCAGUAAUAAUCCUAACCGGCAGAGAAGGAGUGCAGGGGAAGGAUUGAAGAAGUUACAACAAUCAAGAACAAAAUCAAAGUUACAACAAAGAAGGAUAGACAACAACAAAAGCCGAGUGACAAAACUCAAACUUUGAAGAGGGUUGAGCCCAAAAGUGAAAAUCAAAAGCUAAAUGAAAAUUGUUCUUUUCCCAUCAAAAUUGUUCUAUGAAUUUGGAAUCAUAUAUCAAGGCCACUCUACACCUUGAGGAAAAGGCACAUUGGAGAAAUUAACAGUUGUCUUCCCGUCAAGAGAAACCAUAUCAUAAGGUGUAUCUUCUCCAAAUUCAGCUGGCAUUAACUUACAAUAUAGACUUGGUUCCCACUCUGCUUUCUUUAUGACAUUCAAUAUCUCCUUUGUUACUAUUUCACUCCCCUCAGUUGAUAAAUGUACUCCAUCACUAAGAAAUAAUCAAACCACCAAACUAAAUUAUUAUUGAUAAACAAAUUUAAAACAUUUUAGAUUAGGUGCAUAGGGGCGGAGCCGUUCAUGGACUAGGGUGGGCCACGGCCCAUCCAGAAAAAUUAAAAAAUUAACAAGCAUAGGUAUAUUUUGCGAGAAUAUAAACAAUUUUGCUGCUGUUUUAGUAUUCGACAUAUCUAAAUCUCCACUAAUUGGUGUAGUGGCCCACCUAGAAAAUUAAAAAUCAUAGGUUUAUUUUACGAGUUUUUAAACCAUUUUUCAACGGUUUGGAUUUUCGACGGUUUUAAAAGUGACAUGUGAUUUUCGUCAUGCUUAUACUUGGUUGGGUAGUGGAGGUCUACAGACAUUCUAAUUUUUUGGGGUUUCAAAUCUCCUUUAUAUUUUCUUGUCAACUGAAAAUUUCUCAAAUUAAUAGUUGUAUUAUAAAAAAAAUAAAAAUAAAAAAAGAUUCGUAAUUUAUACUAGUAUUAAACUAUGUAAUUUAUUUUUUCAAAGCACCUGAGUUUUCUAGUCAAACUUUUAAUGGUCCAUCUAAACAAUUUUUAUUGGCUUCGCCGCAUAUAUACGAGAUCAUACUUACAUGAAACAAACAUCUUUCCAAUCAUCUCUUUUCUAAAUUGCAGACCACAUAUCAAUGACCUUUAUUUUCAUCUCACGACACAAAUCCAAACAUGCUUCUAAAUAUAUUCGACAAUCUUCAUUUGUCCUCAAUGGUUGCCCAAAUUCAUCACUGGAUUCAUUGCAACUUAAUUGUUAAUAUAUAUCAUAGCACAGUUAGGAAAUAAGAAUGUCAAAAGUUAUUACAUGUUGAACUUUAAUUGUGCCUCACUGAUGGGAGGACUACUGAGAAAUAUAAUCCGAAUCUUGUGUGACAGGCUCUGUUAAUUAUUACAAAUUAUGUCAAGAUUAACAUUCAUAAAAAAAAUUGAGCUGCAAAGGACACUAGAAUUUCAUGAAGUAUGAAACAUAAUUAACCAUGUAUUUCAACUAUGUUAAAGUUUAAAUUUAUGUCGAAAUUUGAAAUCAAAAUAACAAUACUCUUUUAGCAAUCUUCCUCAUAUUUUCAAUAUAUUCUUCCAAUGGUACAUGAGUGAGGACCAAGACCACUUGGACGUGGACGAAAAGAAUCAUUACCACCAAAGUACACAAUCAUCAAUUCUGGUUGUUCAUGGACCGUCUGUAUUAGAGAUAGCUCAUGUCAAUAAAAUCAAAAUAAACACAUUGUGCACAAAGUCUCGUAUGUUUAGCUCAGUUGGUAGCUACCAGGGAUAAUUUGUGCAGGGGUCGAGGUUCAAACUCCAGAUUUUCACUUCUUCACACAUAAUGUGUGUGAAUCUAGCCACUAGACUACUUGACAAAAAAAAUGUAAGUAUAAAAAACAUAAAAACUUAUGUAUAUGCUGCAAAUGGUAUUCAUUAAAUUGAUGCCUUGAAUCAAAAGAUGCAUUCUUUUGUCAUUAUAUUCAAUACCUUGGGAAAUAUUUUAUCCAAAACUUGGAGAGCAUGCCUUGAAGUCCAAGCAGCAUAUCCCCUCAAAACUAUAUCAGCCUACAUCAAAUCAAUGUUGGGUGUAGGAUAAGCAAGAAGUCACUGACCAUUGCAUUAUAAUUAUCAUAAGAUAAAGACUCCCCUCCAAUCACUCCAACAAAUUUGUGAUAGUGAUAUAAGUUUUAAAAUGUCUAAUAUUUUCCAAUAUAUGUGAUCAUCUAAAAUCUCAUUUUUCAUAGGGAAUAUUUUAUAAGUGAAAAAUCUCAUACGAGUACAACUCAUGAAUUAAGAGUUUAUUCUAUAUGCUAUGACAUGGAUUCGAACAUACAUUUUCCCGCUUGGUGUGUGUGAUUUUUGCCACUAAACUCUUUUAUUUCGAAAAGGUAUCGAAAAAUCUAUAAUUAAAGGAAGAAAGAGUACCUUACGAGCAUACAAGUGAGUAAGAGUAGCUCCCCAACCUUGAUAGUAACUGUGUUGAACAAUUGAAGAACCAAACAACACAAAUUUAGGCCUCAUCAUUGUUCCUACACCGUGACAAUUGGGGUGUGGGGUUGAAGACUUAUACAGGUAGUUAUUAAAAACCAAAUAUUUUUUUUACAAAUAUUAAAAACAAAAUCUAUUAUCUUUAAUUAUUAUAGUUCAGAUUGAUAGGGUUAGUUAUCAUGAGUUGUCAAGCAAUACAAAAAUUUGCAACUUCUCCUUUGUGAAAUUAAAAUAAAGAAUGAUAUUAGAAGAUGGAUUUUUUAAAGGCUAAAAUAUGGUUUUGGUCCCUGCAAAUAUGUCUCGUUUUGGUUUUAGUCCCUGCAAAAAAAAUUUGUUGUUUUUGGUCCCUGCAAAUAUGUCUCAUUUUGGUUUUGGUCCCUGGGUCCACUUUUGUGAUAAUUUGCACACGUGUCACAUGAUGACUUAACCAUUUAUUAGAGAAAUAGUCCCUGCAAAAUCUUUUGAUUUUGAAAAAGGUCCCUGCAAAAUAUUUUGUUUUUGGAAAUAGUCCCUGCAGGGACUAUUUCCAAAAACAAAAUAUUUUGCAGGGACCAAAACAAAAUAUUUUGCAGGGACCAAAAACAACAAAAUUUUUUUGCAGGGACUAAAACCAAAAAGAGGCAUAUUUGCAGGGACCAAAACCAUAUUUUAGCCUUUUUUAAAUUUGCCGGCGAAGCGAGAAACACGAGGUGUAAUUCACACUCAUACGUCAUAACAGAAGGUUUAAAUUUAAGUGAAGGUGUGCAAGUUAGAUAUAUGCGGAGUAAUUUAGGAACACUCUCUUUUGAACACUCUUUGAUACUUAUUAUUUUUUUAUUGGUUUAAAUUAUUGUGUGUCUAUACUUAGAAAAUUGAACUCACACAAAGUAGUAGGACAUACAUUGAUUGCAUCAAAUGAAAGAGUGGGUGCGGAAGAGAGUGUUGAAAAGUGAGUGUUGUUAGCAUUAUUCUUGUUGGUUCUUUAAACCCGAAAGGGUCAAGUUACUUUAACCCGAAAGGGUUUGGUUACUAACUUGUUGUGUUCGGUGGUUCAUGUAUGCCUACACACUCGUUCCGAUGCUCGAAAGAGCUUACCACUUACCACUUUGUUCAGGGAGUUACCGUGUUGGCGGUCAAUCCAAUCGCCAUUUUUAAACCCUUACCGUUGCUUACACAUUUUCACUCUUCAUAUUUUUUUGUAACUUGGCUUCGCACCCGUAAACAGUUUUGCUAGGUUGCGUCUAUGAUUAUUGAAAUUGUGUUGAAUAGAUUAAGGUGGUCCUUUUAGUUUGUUUUAUCACGAUGUAUUCAUGUUUGGAUUAUUCUUAGGUCAGGUUUAAUGUCCCACAGUCUUUAUAUCUCGUUUUUUCUAUUUUAUAUUAUUUUCUUUAGCUUUUUUUUUUUUGAAGGAAUUAUUUUCUUUAGCUUAAAAAAUAAAACAAGAAAGUUAAAAGUUUCACUUUAUCAAAGUAAUUAGUGCUUCAUAGACUCUUUAUGUUAAAAUAUGGGACAGUUUUCUCCUUUCAAAUGAUCGUAACACACAAAACAAAACAAAACAAAAAUUACACUCAGUGCGUAUAAAUUAAUUUAUAAUAAUGUGAAAUACUUAAAUUUGACCCAAUUAUUUUGUAUUUAUUAAAAUUCAAAAUAGAAUAAAUAAAUAUCCAAUUUAAUCUCUGAGAAGAAAAAAAAAAUUGAAACUCAAGUUAGGAUCCGUUUGGAUUAGCUUAUUUUAGAGCUUAUAAAAAAAAAAAUCUUUUAUGUAUUAUUUACAAGUUUGUUAGGGUAUUUUAUGUAAAUUUAUAAGUUUGUUAAGAUAUUUUAUGAAAAAAAAGGAGCUUAUAAAUUAAAAUAAAAACAUUUAUUUACAUAAGUUUACUAUUCAUCAAGAAAUUUAAACCUAAACACGUUUUUUUAAUAAUGAACGUUGAACAUGUUAUUCACUACAUUUAACUUUUAUCACAACCAAUUUUGUUUUGCUUUAUAUUGUGCCUUUGCUAGUAGGUUUUUUUUAUUUUUUUUUGCAAGCUCAAGCUAUCAAGAGAUCAAUGACAGUUUUAGGAUUUUGGGAACAUUGUUGAUUUGAAAGGGAGGCAUGACAAAAGAGUCAAUUUGUCCUUUUGGCCUUCAAGAGCGAAACAGGCAACAAUUAACAACGUCAACUGGCAAGUAAGCAAUCUAAUGGUACAUCGAGACUUUAUCAAACUUUAUCGAUAUUUAUGAAGAAAAAAAUUGACGAAUCUUUGUGGAAUCAUUUUAUCAUGAAAUGAUCCAAAUCUAUAAAACAUUCACUAAAGACAUAAAACUCAUAAAAUGGUGAAAUAUUUUAAGCAAUUCACUCAAUCAUAUAUAGUCAGAGAGUUCACACUUGCAUGGUGAAAAACCUGGGAAAAGUGAUAUGGGAACUAAGAACAGCAUUUUUCUUUAAUUAGGCACAGUUCUGAAUUCCUGUUAUUCGUGAUUGUUUUCAAAUGAUUCAAAGAAUAGGGCAUGUCUUUAGCUCCCAAAUGCACAUCAGUCAUAUUCCAUGGUUUCCAUAAAGGUCAAGCUGGAAACAUUCAAGGUUUUUUCAUCUGGGCCAAGCGGAUCGUAAGGUGAAUCUUCUCCAAAUUCAUCUGGCAGUGACUUCCAGUGCAAGCAAGGUUCCCAAUCUGCUUCUUUGAGGAUAUUAAGUAUCUCUUUCACAACUAUCUU